CUCCCCUGCAAUGGGCAAAGGGACAUUUUGUCGGUGAUGGUGUUCUUAUAUCAGUCAAGGGAAGAGCAGAAGGCAGUCCUUUGUUUAUCUGAGCUGGAUGCCUGGCAUGGUGGCCAAAGCUGUUUUAUACCUAGGACACAUAA
ensembl:snoRNA LOC120093966 small nucleolar RNA SNORA48